rnacentral:rRNA from 1 species
CAAGGAAUUUUCCGCAAUGGGCGCAAGCCUGACGGAGCAACGCCGCGUGGGGGAUGACGCCUUUCGGGGUGUAAACCCCUUUUCUGCGGGAGGACGACCGACAGUACCGCAGGAAGAAGGCCCGGCUAACUACGUGCCAGCAGCCGCGGUAAUACGUAGGGGCCGAGCGUUGUCCGGAAUUACUGGGCGUAAAGCGCGCGCAGGCGGCGCUCUAAGCCCGACGUGAAAGCCCCCGGCUCAACCGGGGAUCGUCGUCGGGGACUGGAGGGCUUGAGGGCGGUAGGGGCCGGUGGAAUUCCCGGUGUAGUGGUGAAAUGCGUAGAGAUCGGGAGGAACACCAGUGGCGAAGGCGGCCGGCUGGGCCGACCCUGACGCUGAGGCGCGAAGGCGUGGGGAGCGAACGGG